CCUACGGGAGGCAGCAGUGAGGAAUAUUGGUCAAUGGACGCAAGUCUGAACCAGCCACGCCGCGUGCAGGAAGACGGCUCUAUGAGUUGUAAACUGCUUUUGUACGAGGGUAAACGCAGAUACGCGUAUCUGUCUGAAAGUAUCGUACGAAUAAGGAUCGGCUAACUCCGUGCCAGCAGCCGCGGUAAUACGGAUGAUUCAAGCGUUAUCCGGAUUUAUUGGGUGUAAAGGGUGCGUAGGCGGUCGGGUAAGUUAGAGGUGAAAGCCCGAGGCUCAACUUCGGAAUUGCCUUUGAUACUGGUCGGCUAGAGAGUAGGUGCGGUAGGCGGAAUGUAUGGUGUAGCGGUGAAAUGCUUAGAGAUCAGACAGAACACCGAUUGCGAAGGCAGCUUACCAAGCUACUACUGACGUUGAGGCACGAAAGCGUGGGGAGCAAACAGGAUUAGAUACCCGUGUAGUC
rnacentral:rRNA from 1 species